GCGUGAGUGAUGAAGGUCUUAGGAUUGUAAAGCUCUUUCAGCAGGGAAGAUAAUGACGGUACCUGCAGAAGAAGCCCCGGCAAACUUCGUGCCAGCAGCCGCGGUAAUACGAAGGGGGCUAGCGUUGUUCGGAUUUACUGGGCGUAAAGCGCACGUAGGCGGACUAUUAAGUCAGGGGUGAAAUCCCGGGGCUCAACCCCGGAACUGCCUUUGAUACUGGUAGUCUUGAGUUCGAGAGAGGUGAGUGGAAUUCCGAGUGUAGAGGUGAAAUUCGU
rnacentral:rRNA from 1 species